UACAGAGGCCUCAAGCGUUAGGCGGAAUCACUGGGCUUAAAGCGUGUGUAGGCGGCCUUCUAAGUACCUUGUGAAAUCCCACGGCUUAACUGUGGAACUGCUUGGUAUACUGGUUGUCUUGAGCCACUUAGGGGCUACCGGAACAAAUGGUGGAGCGGUGAAAUGCGUAGAUAUCAUUUGGAACGCCAAUGGUGAAAACAGGUAGCUGGGAGUGUGCUGACGCUGAGACACGAAAGCCAGGGGAGCGAACGGG
rnacentral:rRNA from 1 species